rnacentral:lncRNA from 1 species
UUUGCCUUCUGCUCCUUCUUCGCUUUUUUAAAGGCAAAAAUAUAAUCCCAUGGAAUUGGCCUCUCAUCGGAAUGUUGCCAACGAUUCUUUUCCAAUAUGAUCAGGUUUUAGAUCUGGGUGCUGAAAUUUUAGAAAGAUGCGGAGGCACCUUUCUGGUAAAAGGCCUGUGGUUGGCUCACUCGGAUAUGCUAAUCACUUGCAUUCCUGCGGACGCGCACCAUGUGAUGAGCACAAACUUCUGGAAUUUUCCCAAAGGGCCUGAGUUUAGGAUGAUGCUUGAUGCUUUUGGGAAUGGACUAUUCAUUUCUGACUUAGAAGACUGGAGUUUCCACCGAAGAAUUGGUCGAGCGUUGUUCAAUCACCAGAGGUUCCAACAGUUAUCAGUGGAUAUUACCCUGGAUAAAGUGGAGAAUGGCCUAGUCCCAGUUCUGGAGCAUGCUUCCCAACAACGCUUAGCGGUGGACUUUCAAGAUUUGUUCCAAAGGUUUGGACUAGAUGCAACAUGUGCGUUGAUCACAGGGUGCGACCCCAAGAGCCUCUGCCUCGAGCUCCCAGAUGUUCCAUUCGCAUCCGCUAUGGAAGAGGCUGGAAAAGUGAUAUUUCUACGCCAUGUUUACCCAAAAUGCAUUUGGAAGUUACAAAGGUGGCUCGGUAUUGGGUCAGAGAGAAUUUUGAUUGCAGCCAAGAAAACCCUCUAUGAUUUUGCAGCGGAACAUGUAUCCUUCAUGCGAGAAAGGUCGAACAUGGGAACUAAUCAAACCGAGGGGCUUGAUAUUUUAUCAGCAUAUAUCAAUGAAGAUGAAGCCUUCCAAUCAUCGGCCAGUGACAAAGUGUUGAUAGACAACAUCUUGAGCCUCUUGCUUGCAGGUAAAGACACAACUAGCGCAGCUCUCUCUUGGUUUUUCUGGCUUGUUUCAAAAAACCCUUCAGUUGAAACCAAGAUCAUUGAAGAACUCAAAGCAGCUGUACCAGCAAAAGAAGCUGAAAAAUGGCAUCUAUUUGAUGCAAAAGAGCUAAGCAAGCUGGUUUAUCUGCAUGGGGCAUUGUGUGAAUCUCUAAGGCUAUUCCCCCCAGUUCCCCUACAGAUCAGAACUCCUCUUCAACCAGAUAUCCUUCCAAGUGGCCACCGGGUUGAUCCUUCCACAAAGGUAAUUUUUCAUGCGUAUGCCAUGGGCAGGAUGGCUUGCGCAUGGGGAAAAGACUGCCUAGAAUUCAAGCCGAGAGAUGGCUGACGGGAAAAGGAAGGACUAAACAUGAGCCAGCAUACAAGUUCCUUGCGUUUAGCGCAGGACCCAGAAUUUGUUUGGGGAAAGAGGUGGCUUUUUUUAAAAUGAAGGCCGUUGCUGCUGCUAUCAUGCAUAACUACCAUUUCCAAAUGGUGAAAGGGCAUCGGGUGGUUCCUACCGUUUCCAUUGUUCUUCAUAUGAAGCAUGGUUUAAGGGUUAACGUUAAAAACAAAUGGGCCUGAAUUGAAUUAUUCCACUGGUUUGGUUCUAUAUAUAUAUAUAUAUAUAUAUGCAGUUUUAGGUUUUUCCAGUUCUCGUCCCACCUCUUAAAUGGAGAUUACUACAUAUUGUGCUUGUAUUAUGGAUUAUGUAUCAGGAAAUCAGUACGGUUGAUAAAGUCUUUGGUAUAAUAAAAGCCAUGCAUAGAUGGCUCAUAAAGAUUAAUGUACAUUUUCUUAGUAGUAUAAGCUAGACUUAAUCUAGAUUGUCCUAUAAAUGUUACGAUGUAUAUCUUAUGAUUGUGUUGAGGGACAGUUCCCAUAAAUUUCAAUUAUUUAUGUCAGUGGGAAGAUGCAUCUUGGUUGGUAGGCCUUAAAUAAUGUAAAAUGUCUUUUUUGGGAAACUUGUAUUUUGGGAGGGCCAUUUGGAAAUAAUAUGGAUUUCAAAACCCUAGGAAAUAUAAUAUUCAACUAAUAAUAAACUAAUAAUAUAAAAAAUAAUAUGAUUCUUUGUGCACUUUGUGCUGAGUGGACUUUUGAUACCCACUUUGCCCUUACCCAAUCUCCAUGUUAGCAUCCACGUUGAGAUAGGAGGCAAAAGGGAAAAAAAAAAUUAAUUACAUAAAUUUCCCAAACAUCUUUCUCUUCACUUUCUCACCACCCGCACUAAAGCCAAAGAACCCCAAAUUUGAAACCAUAAACCCUCCCUGAUCUUCCUCUAAAUCCAAAUAACCUAAAUGUUGUGAAAUCCUACCUGUGAUUUUCUCAUAUAUCCCCAAAAUCCCUAUAAUCCCAAGAAACAAACCCUAAUCCUUAUUUGCACAAGUCGAUGUCAUAGAUUUAAGAGUGUGGGCAUCAGUCGAUGUCGUAGAUUUGAGAGCGUGGGGAAACCCUAACCUCUUUGUCUAAAGAUCUAGUUCCGAAUCUCUAUCUUCAUCAUCAUCAUCAGGUGAUAUAUUUUUAUGUUGGUAUAUUUAUGGUGGUUUAUUUGUGUUAAAUUUUUUUUUCACAUCGAGAAAGGAGGGUGUGCCGAAGUAUGACUAUGAAAUUUACAUAUUCUUUUUUUCUUUAUGUACAAAACUUCACCUUUCUCUCUAAAUUCCUCUCAAUUAAGGGCUUCUUUCGGAGAUUUGAUGUAGCUGCUAAUCUUUUGUACUAUUUCUCGAAAACCCUUUUUUUUUUUUUUGUUGGAAAAUGUUCUCAGAUUUUGAAGGUAAGAAAUUUGUUUAUUUUUAAUAUUGAAAUAGAAACUCAAUUGCAGUAAUGAAUUGAAGAUGUUUAUUAUUAUCAUUAUUAUUAUUUGUUAUUUGUUUGGUUAAUUUAGAGGUUUGUGGGUUGGUUGAUUAUUUCUCAUAAAUCAUUGAUCUCAAUUUUUUUUUUUGUAUUAAUAAAUUGAAGAUUUUAUUUUGUUUUUUUUUUCUUUUUCUUUUUUAAUGCUUUGUGGUACUAGGUUUAAAUUUUUUACGGAUGUUUGGGUGGGCAUUAUUGAAAUUAGUGGGUUUAUUUUGAGAAAUUUAGUUUUCCGACUGAGGAAUUUAUGCUUCUGAAACAACAAGCAUUCAGUUGAGGAAUUGUUUUAGGGUUAAAGCCAUACUAGAUUUUAAUUUUGUUGUUUCUACAUCUUUUAAAGAAUGAUGUUAGGCGGUUAGAGUGUGUUCUUUUGUUGUUUUAGGGUUUUUAGGUUGAAAAUUGAUAUGGAUUUAUGUUUAUUAGAUUGAGUUAGAAUUUUUUCCCACGAAUUUAUUUGAGAAGCCAUGAUAUGUAAUUGUGUUUUGAGAUGGUUUUAUACUAAUUAGUUUUAUUUGUGUCUAUUUUUGUGCAUUUAUCUGAGUUUUUUUUUUUUGGUUUUAUAUUUUUCAAAAUGGUUUUUGGUUCAUGACUCUUAGAAUUGGAAAGGUUUAAGCCAAGUAGGAUGAGUUAGCUCUUUUACUUUGGAUUUAUUUAAUAUUCAUUUUUUCGGGUUCUGCUUUUAGGAUCGGAUUACAUUUGUGAGUCUUUAAAUUUGAGAUGACUCUUAUUUUAUUUUAUUUUUUGUCAAAUGGUACUGUGGUUUUCAAACUACAUAACAGAUGUAGACAUAGGCAUUAUUGAGGCUUGGAGACCAUUGAUGCAGUUCUUUUAAUUACAUUACUUUUUACCAUAAUUCAGGAUUGACUUUUACUAAAAAAUAUUGAUUCUUCAUUUUGGUCUCCUUCAUAGUUAAUGUAAGCAUCACUAUUUCUACAUCUUUGUUAUCUUUGUAAAUAAUUUUUUGCCUUGAAUUGUAUAACAUACUCAUAUAAUUCAAAGUUGCAAAAGUCUUGACCCACAAAUUACCAUCUCAUGUGGAUUUGGGAGAUAAGAAAUUUACAAGUUGAAAUACAUUGAGCUUUGAUAAUUCUUACAUAUUGAAAACUUUUUUAUUUAUACAAUAUAUUCUGAUGGCAUUUCAAUAUUUAUGUUUACAUUUUGUUUUCUUUUAAAUUUUUAAGCAGAUUCAUGGGUCAUAAAGGCUACCAUAGGCUUCAGAAUUAGACUUUAAUAUCUAAGAAGCAUUUCCUUAUUAUAAUACGAAAUGCUUUUGGAAGCUGGUUAUAGAAUUCCCAGGGAAAUGCUUAAAUUUUUCAAAACAACAUCAUAUUAUUUUUCAACCUAAAAUACACUUAUAUAAAUUUUCAUAACCACAUUACACCAUCCUUGAAGUUUCUCCAUAAUAAUACUAUUGAAAAAAAAAUUAUGGAGACAUGAUAUUUUAUUUUGUAAGUUUGAAUUAAUGAAAUAAAGUAUUUGACUCUAACUUAUAUGGUCCUAAUCAACGAAUUAUAAUAGUUAACCUUGUGACCUUAGUUAACGGGUUAUAAUUGUUGACUUUUAGUUUUAUUCAACUUAAAAGGAACAAAUUUAAGGCUAACCACUCAUUUGUAAAGUCCCACCUAAUUGGGCAUCAUUUGUUAUUUGAUAACCAAAAUAAAUAUAUUUUGAAUGUAUUUGAUUUGGUUUUGAUGUGAAAUUGAUUUGAAAUGGAUAUGAGAGAGUUUUGUAGAAAAGUUUUGAAUGUAUUACCUUGUUUGAACUCAAAAGUUUUUAUGAGAAAAAGAUUAUACAUUGUAUCUUUUGUUUGCAAUCAUAAUUGAAAAUGUUUGAUCCAUGAAGCUAUAUUGAUAUUCCUUAUUAGACUUUGUGCUCACUCCCCUUCAUUAAUAAUUUUUCAGGUACUCUCAAUUCGGGUGAGAAGUGAUGGCUAGGCUGAUUUGGUUGAGUGUUGGGUUAGAGCUGCUAAGACUAAUGUUCAGGGACAAUCGUCAUCUUCUAAGGGUAGCUCCUUUGAUGACUUUAAGAAGUUGGGUCAUCCUUAUUUUUUUGGCACGUCAAAUCCAACGGAGGCAAAGGUUUGGAUUCUUAAGAUGGAGAAAUUCAUUGAUGUCAUAGAUUGCUUUAAGGAGCAAAAAACCUCUUAUGCAACAUUUCUGUUAGACAAACAGGCAGCUCAUUGGUGGCGUAUGACUAAGAGACUUUUAGAGGAUCAGGAACCUAUAACAUGGAAACAGUUUAGAGAGGCUUUCUACAAGAAGUACUUCCAUGAUAAUGUUAGACAACACAAGGUGGAAGAGUUUGUCAUUUAGAACAAGGGGAUAUGACAAUGGCCCAAUAUGAAGCCAAAUUUACAAAGUUGAUUGCUACAGAUGAGGAAAAGACAUUAAUUUUCCAGGAUGGAUUGAAACCUUAUCUAAAGAGCAAGAUAUCUAUUUUGAAGCUUAGUGUCUAUUGAAAGAUUGUAAACAGAGCCCUUAUAGGGGAGAAGGAUAAUAAGGAGCUUCAACAAUAUAAAGAACAACAAAGAAAGAGGAGUAGGAGUGAUGGUACCCAUGAUAACUAAGAAUAGAAAAGGUUUGUUUCAAUUGAGGGUCAGAAUAAAGAGGAAAUAGUGCAAAAUUCAGAUGUGAUUUGUUCUAUUUGUGGUAAGAAACAUUGGGGUAAGUCAUGCUAUAAAGAGACUAGAGUUUGCUUUGGUUGUGGGAAGCAUGGACAUAUGAUUCUAGAUUGUUGAAAAGUUUUGAACGUAUUAGCAUGUUUGAAUUCAAAAAAAUUUUAUGAGAAAAAAAGUAUACAUUGUAUCUCUUAUUUGCAAUUAUAGUUGAAAAUGUUUUAUCCAUGAAAUUGUAUUGAUAUUUAUUAUUAGGUUUUGAGUUUAUUCUUCUUCGUUGAUAAUUUUUCAGGUACUCUCAACUCGGGCAAGAAGUGGUGACUAGGUUGGCGAAUUUUUAUUUAUUAGGAUUUUUGUUCAAACUUUAUUUUGGACAUUGUUUAGAUAUUAAAAUUUAAUUCUCGUUUAGAUUAUUUGAGUAUGAAAUUAUUUAAAAAAUAACAAUUUAGUUAAUAUGUUAGUUUUAAAGUUGAGAAUUAAGGAUUAUAAACUCUAUUUAUUUUAUUAUCCUGAAUAGGAAUUUGGUAAUUGAAAAUUAUCUAAUUACAACUUACAAGAGAUAGAUCGUUUACAUUUUAUACCUUUGGACUAGGGGUGUGAAAUGAAUUCCACGUUCGGUUAUGGGUAAGGGUCUCCAAAAAGCUCGCGGCCCACGGCCCGGCCUGAGCCCAUUUUUGGAUGGGUCGGGCCAUGGGCUCCAAUUUACAUACGCUUUAUUUUCCAUGCACACAUUUCCAUGCACACACCACCACCACCACCUUUUUACAUACGCUUUAUUUUCCAUGCACACACUUCCACAUGUUUUUUUUUUUCUUCUUCUUCUUUUUUUUUCCAACUCUCAGCCUCCACACAUGCAUGACGUGUUUGUUUGUUUGGUUUUUUCACGUCCAACAUCUAUGAUUUAUUUUCUUUUGGUUAUUUUUAUUGUUUACAUCUACUCAUUUAAAUUUUGAGUCUUUUUAUUAUCUCCAUUAAUAAAUUUACAUAUGUUCAUAUAUUUCUAAUAAUUGAAUUUUUUUUUUAUAAAUCAAAGUAUAAUCUAAAUUUCAAAUAUUCCAAAAAUAUAUUUAAAUUAUUUAAAAUUAAUUAAUGAAUAUAAAAUAUUAAUUUAAAGCCUAAAAUUUUAUUGGAAUAACAAAACCUUACACUUCCAAUAUUGCACUACCAUUUCUGAUCUCAUCUAAAAGGAUUUCUGCAUAGAAAAGUUAUAAAAUUUACUUUAUACCUAAGAUUUAUGAUGUGAAAAUAACUUUUUACAUUCUUUUAGUUUAUUUAAAUUAUUUCUUUAUUUCCAAUUUAUAAUCUUACCCCUAAAAUUUCUAUGGUUAAGGAUAUAAAAAUAAAAAAAUUAUCUUAUUUUGGGUCAUAUAAGAAGAGUAAUUAUGAUAAAAAUGUUUUAAACGGUAUUUGUUUUUUUUAGUUUUUUAUUGAAAGUAAAUAACAUAUUAAUUUUUCCUUACUUUUUAAUAUUUAAUAGAUAUAAAAUAUUACAAAAAUAAUUAAUCUAAUACUUAAUAUUAUUAAACCAUAUUUAGUUUUAAUUUCUAUUUAAAAUUAAGUUUUAAAAAAUAAACAUUACGUACAUUAAUCUAUAACACUUUUAUAAAUAAAACAUUUCUAUCAUACACGCUUUGACAUUCAGUGCAUCACUUUAAGUAGUGUUUUUUGAACUUUCUAAAAGUGUUUGAAAAAAAUUAAAUAUUUGAUAAAAUUUAGGAAACACUUUUUAUGUUAGAAAAGCUUCUUAUAGUCAUUGAAAAACAAGCUCUAAAUUGAGAUAAAGAUGAUUUCUAAAAUUAAUAUUUAUUUUUUAUGGGAUAAAAUAAGAAGUAAAAUAUAUGGGUCUCUUACAUUUUGGAAAAUAGUUUGGAAAACCAGUUUUUGAUAAUAGUCAUAAAAAAAUAGGGAUUCAUAUCCUUCAAAAACAAAAUUAUGUUUGUGUGGACCCCACAUUUUGCUCGAUGUGUUUCCACUCAAUGGCGAAACUCGCUUUUUUGUUUUAUUUGGUGAAAUUUUGAUUUUGAGAAAAAGACUUGGAGUCACCACUUAUUUUUGUUUUAUUUUUUAAGGGAAAAACAAAAUAAGAAAGAAAAGCUCUAAGUAUAACUCCUAAAGGAAAAAAAACAGGUCUGUGAAAAACCGAAGUCGGGUUCGGAGGUCAGGUUACUUAUUGGGAAGGUACGGUGGUGAGCCGUAGCACCCCUCUGAGCCCGUAUACGUACGGCCUCUACUAAACGAAUUGAGGAAAUUGUGGUAAUUAAUUAAUUAAUUAUGGAUACCAAGAAAAAUAAUCAAUGUACAAGUCAUGGUGAAAAUUAAUAUACACAAAAAUGAUGAUGAAAUCUAAUUGCAAGAAUAUACAAAAUAAAUGAUAAGAGAAUUAUGCAAAAUGAUUUAUUGAAUUAAAUAAAUAGAAGAUAUUAAAAAAAGUUUUAAAGAAAUUUCAAAGGAUUUUAUUAAAAAUGAUUUUGAAUUAAUGAUUUCAAUUUAUUUACUUACAAAAAAAAGAAUCAACUUAUUUUCUCAAUUUCAUUUGUAUUCAAUUUUCAAAAAAACUAUUUACACUUAUUGUAUCAAAAGAAUUUAUUACAAAAUUUCAAUUUGGGCACAAAAAUUAUUUUUACUUGCUUUUACUAGAAAAUAAUGAAUUUUUACAAUUUUAUUUACAAAAAUAUUUAGAUUCAUUUUCAUUUAAAAAAAUUAUUUUUACAAAUUAUUUAAAAUGACAUAACUUUAUUUGCAAAAGAAAUUUUAAUUAAAAAAGAAAAACAAAGAUUUAAAUUCUCUAUUUCUGAAAAACACUUUUGAUCCCAUUUUAAUUAAGGAAAAAGAAUUCAUUUGAAAAAAAAUAUUUUUAGACAAUUUUGUUAAAAAUCAAAUUUUGGGACAACUUUAUUUACAAAACAAUAUUUGGACAAUUUUUAUUAAACAAAGAAAUUUAUGGACAAAUAUUAUUUAAAAAACAAAUUUUCAAAUUCCAUUAAAAACAUUUCUUUUGGAUUUUUCUAAAUGCAUUUUUCUGAAUUUUUAUAUAUAAAAAAAACUUUCUUUUAUUAAAAAUAAUAUUUUAAAAUUGUUGUUUUAUUAAAACACAUUUACUGACUUCAUCCUCUUAUUAAAAAAAAAAUUCUAAUUUGUUCGAUGUUCAAUUCUGCGCACACUCAAUAAAUAUAUACGAACAAAUAUUUACAAGAACUAAUAAAAAUAAAACCAAAUAAAAGUGAGAAAUAAAAUAUGUACUCAAAUAAACUUACAACAAGCUCUACGUGUCAUCAAUUCGUACUCAGCCAACAAGAUUGCAGAGUGGGUCCAUGCAAAAACAAGAAUAGCACAAAUGUAAAUAUCCAGAGACGUACAAAAUCCUAAACAAAUAUUCAAAUUUCAAAUUAGUCCAAUAAAUUUCAGCAAUUAAAAAUGGGCCUCAAUUAACAAAUAUUGCCCAACAAAAAUAUCUCACAUAUCUUAGAUCAUAACCUAAAGUUUUCAAAUUAAUAGCCAAAAUAUAAGCUCAAUUAAUCAAACCUAAAACAUGAUAAAUUAAAAUAAAUCUCAUUAAACCUAAAUUUAAUAUCUCACAUAUCUUAAAUCAUAACCUAAAGUUUUCAAAUUAAUAGCCAAAAUAUAAGCUCAAUUAAUCAAACCUAAAACAUGAUAAAUUAAAAUAAAUCUCAUUAAACCUAAAUUUAAUAUCUCAUCAUUAAUAUUAAGCCCAAUUUAACAUACAAACCUAGAUCCACAACCAAAAUCAACCCAAUUUAAUAUUCAAACCCACAUCCAAAAUAUACUACAAUAUUAUAUUAUAUCCAAAUUAAAUAAUUCAAAUGAAUACAACCAUACAAAUUAUCAAUUAAUUUAGCCCAAAUUAACAAAUUUCAAAUUAAUAAAUUCCAAAUUAAUUCACCAAUAAUAAAUUAGCCCAAAUUUCAUAUGAAUUCUCUAACAACAAAUUAACCCAAAAUUUCAUAUUAAUUUACCAACAACAAAUUAACAUAAAUCUCAUACUAAUUAAUAAAGCUCAAAUGUAAGGCCCACAAAUAAACACAAAUACACAAGCCCAAUUUCAACAACAAUUAAUAUUGAAAUAAAAGAAAAUAACAACCAUAACAAUAAUAAUGAUAAUAAUAAUAAUAACAAUAAUAAUAAUAAUAAUGUUAGGAAUUUGAGGCUAAUACAAACUAUGAUAAUCACCCUAGAGGGGGGGUAAAUAGGGUGAUGGUCUCUUUUUCACAAAUUUAAACUAUACAAAAAUAAGAGACAAUUAUAUGCAAGUAUGUAAUAAACAAAAUAAAGAUAAUUGCAUAUAAUUUAAAAGAGUUAGGGAAGAGAGAGUGCAAACACGAGAGUUUAUAGUGGUUCGGCACUUCUUUGCCUACGUCCACUCUCCUCAACCUCCUAACCGAGUGAGGGUUCCACUAUCUUGAACCUUCAACCAAGCUUCCAAUCUCUUUACAAUUGGAUUAUGGUUCCAAUUCACCCUCUUGGACUUUUGGCUCCAAACACCCUUUACACUUUUUCAAGAGAUAUCCCUCUCUUGAACAACCUCUCAAGUGAUACCCCUCACUUGAGAAAAUUCCUCACAAAGAUAUACAAAUAAUGAUCUCACAAAAAUCCUAGUAAUAGAACUUUAGGCUCAAAGAUACAAGAAAAACUAGGAUUGAAUGGUGCACUAAAGAUAUGCAAGUUAUGAAACAAUGGUGCAUUCAAAAAACACUCUCCCAAGUCUCAAAUAUAAUCAAUAAACAAUGGUGCAUUCAAAAAACACUCUCCCAAGUCUCAAAUAUAAUCAAGAAUGAUUUGGGAAGGUUAAGCUUAUGAAACAAUGAAGAUUGAAGCCUUUUUAUAGAAGAAAAAAGUCAAACUAGCCGUUGGGGGUUCGAUCGGUCGAGCUAGGGGUCGACCGGUUGACUAGUCGUUAGGAAAAGUGACCCUUGGACCUCAACUGGACCUCAACCGGUCCUCGACCGGACCUCAAUUGGUUGAGGUUCAACCUUGACCGGGAAGAGAAGGCCACUGGGAGAGAGAGAAACUUUUUGGCCUCCCUCAACCGGUCAUUGAUUGGAUGAGCACAACCGGUCAUCGACUGGAUGAGCACAACCGGUCGACCGGUUGAGCCAUUUUUUUGGCUAUACACUCAACCUUUUUCAACUUAAAACCUUGUUGAAAAACUCAUUAGUUCUAAACCUUCUCUUUGAGGUGGUCUUCUUCUUCAUGAUUUCUCCUUGGCUUGAUUUGUCUUUGGAUUGCCACUUUGGAAGUCGUCUUGCCUAAUCACACUUGAAAUAUGAUCAUUAGUUCUAAACCUUGUUUUGUUAUCAUCAAAAUCAAGAUUAACCAAACCUUGAUUUCACAAAUAAUAAUAAUAAUAAUAAUAAUAAUAAUAAUAAUAAGAAAAAAAACAAGAGGGAUGCAAGGGUACGGAAAUGACGGGCAGUGGCUGUUCGGGGAAGAUGUGGGUGUGUUGGAAUGGAGGAAGAAAAUAAAAAUAAAAAAUGGGUUGUAAGAGCGGUCUCGUGAGUGGCAGUGUGUGGGUAGGAAGAAGAGAAAAGAAAGAAAAAAAAAAAAAGAAAGAGGGGAGAUAGGGAAAUGAGCAGUCAGCUGGGUGUGGGAGUUGGCUGUGAGUGAAGUGUGGUAUUGGGGAAAGAAAAAGAUGAAGAAGAAUGGGGGAAAAUGGGGGAGUCGGCCAUUGUUGGGAAUGGGUAAGGAGAGAGAGAUGAGAAAAAAAGAAAAAAAAUUGGGGGAUCAAAAUCAGUAGCCGACCACCUUGUGGAGAAAAAAAUGGAGAAAAUGGGGGGAUGAAAAUCAGAAGAAGUGAAUGGGGGCCGACUGUGGAGAAUGGAGUGGAGUUGAAUGAGUGGAGGGGGAAAAAAAGAAAAAGAAAAAGGGGAGGGGGGGGACCUGCCGUUUUUCCAAGCUGGGGGCGAGAGGAAAGAGGAGAAAAAAACAGGGGGAAAGUCUUUGGAAUUGGGAGGAAAAAAUGGGGGGUCAAAGGCAAUUUUGGGCGAGAGAAAGAAGAGUGGGAAGGAAAAAAAAUUGAGGGAAAAAUGAAAAGUGGCUGGUGGCGACAAGUAUGGGAGGAGAGAGAAGAAGUGGGUGGGUGAGGGUAGGUGGAAGAGAAAAAGGAAGAGAUAAGGGAGAGAAAAAUGAAAAAAUAAAAUAAAAUAAUAAAUAAAUAAAAUAAAAAUAUAAAAAUAUAAUAUAAUAUAUUAUAAUAUAAUAUAAUAAUAAUAAUAACAAAUAAAACUAAUAAGUAAAAAUAAAAAAUAAAAAAAGUAAUUUACAAAAUAAUGAAAACUAAAAAUAAAGGGUGAGUGGACCUAAAAUAACACAUGUAAUCGAGAUUUAAAAUUGGACUCAAAAUUAAUACAAAAAUAAAAUUGGGACAAAAUUUAGGGUCUACAAUUUGAUAGCUCAAAUAUAAAAAUGUCUAUAUAUAUUCCCAAGUUUCUUAAUUUCCAGUGCUUCUUGUGGCUGAUCUUCCUCGUUUAAAUGAUAUCCCACCUACCAAGUACUGCCGAUGGAAUUAAUUUCCCCAUAGACGACAAAAUUCAAGCAAUGCCAGUACUAUAGCUGAUGCUGAGGUCGCUGUAAUUUCCUUUUCUUUUAUCCCCUUCAAUUCCUUGGUAAAUACAUGUUACCAGCGAUCAGUGAUUCUUGUAUGGAUUCAACCGUAAAUAGAGCUCAAACUGAAAGCAAUUCAGCAAUUCAUUUGGAACUGCAAUGGCUUUAACAGGCUAUGACUGUGAGAUCCUUUUAGUGUUUAUUUGCCUUCUGCUCCUUCUUCGCUUUUUUAAAGGCAAAAAUAUAAUCCCAUGGAAUUGGCCUCUCAUCGGAAUGUUGCCAACGAUUCUUUUCCAAUAUGAUCAGGUUUUAGAUCUGGGUGCUGAAAUUUUGGAAAGAUGCGGAGGCACCUUUCUGGUAAAAGGCCUGUGGUUGGCUCACUCGGAUAUGCUAGUCACUUGCAUUCCUGCGGACGCGCACCAUGUGAUGAGCACAAACUUCUGGAAUUUUCCCAAAGGGCCUGAGUUUAGGAUGAUGCUUGAUGCUUUUGGGAAUGGGCUAUUCAUUUCUGACUUAGAAGACUGGAGUUUCCACCGAAGAAUUGGUCGAGCGUUGUUCAAUCACCAGAGGUUCCAACAGUUAUCAGUGGAUAUUACCCUGGAUAAAGUGGAGAAUGGCCUAGUCCCAGUUCUGGAGCAUGCUUCCCAACAACGCUUAGCGGUGGACUUUCAAGAUUUGUUCCAAAGGUUUGGACUAGAUGCAACAUGUGCGUUGAUCACAGGGUGCGACCCCAAGAGCCUCUGCCUCGAGCUCCCAGAUGUUCCAUUCGCAUCCGCUAUGGAAGAGGCUGGAAAAGUGAUAUUUCUACGCCAUGUUUACCCAAAAUGCAUUUGGAAGUUACAAAGGUGGCUCGGUAUUGGGUCAGAGAGAAUUUUGAUUGCAGCCAAGAAAACCCUCUAUGAUUUUGCAGCGGAACAUGUAUCCUUCAUGCGAGAA